rnacentral:rRNA from 1 species
GAUGAACGCUGGCGGCGUGCCUCAAACAUGCAAGUCGAGCGGGGCUAUGUAAUAUCGCAAGGUAGAACAUAGCCUAGCGGCGAACGGGUGAGUAACACGUGGGUAACCUGCCUGGAAGACAGGGAUAACGAUUCGAAAGGGUCACUAAUACCUGAUAAUAUCCUUUCAUCGCAUGGUGAUAGGAAGAAAGGGGAAACCCGCUUUCAGAUGGGCCCGCGUCCCAUCAGCUAGUUGGUAAGGUAAAGGCUUACCAAGGCGACGACGGGUAGCCGGUCUGAGAGGAUGUACGGCCACACUGGGACUGAGAUACGGCCCAGACUCCUACGGGAGGCAGCAGUUGGGAAUCUUAGGCAAUGGACGAAAGUCUGACCUAGCGACGCCGCGUGAGGGAAGAAGGCCUUCGGGUUGUAAACCUCUGUCAUGGGGGAAGAAGGAAGUGACGGUACCCCAAGAGGAAGCCCCUGCUAACUACGUG